ensembl:rRNA 5S_rRNA 5S ribosomal RNA
AUCUACGGCCAUGCUACCCUGAACAAGCUCAAUCCCGUCUGAUCUCAGAAGCUAAGCAGGGUUGGUCCUGGUUAGUACUCGGAUGGGAGACCACCCAGGAACGAAGUGCUAUAGGCA